rnacentral:rRNA from 1 species
AGCAGCCGCGGUAAUUCCAGCUCCAAUAGCGUAUAUUAAAGUUGUUGCAGUUAAAAAGCUCGUAGUUGAAUUUCGGGAUCAAUUUAUUGGUCGUGCUAUUGUACGUACUGGUAUUAUUGAUUCCUACCUUCUGACGAACCAUGAUGUCAUUAAUUUGGUGUCUUGGGGAAUCAGGACUGUUACUUUGAAAAAUUAGAGUGUUUAAAGCAGGCUCACGCUUGAAUACAUUAGCAUGGAAUAACGAAAUAGGACGUUUGAUUCUAUUUUGUUGGUUUCUAGGAUCGACGUAAUGAUUAAUAGGGAUAGUUGGGGGCAUUAGUAUUCAAUUGUCAGAGGUGAAAUUCUUGGAUUUAUUGAAGACUAACUACUGCGAAAGCAUUUGCCAAGGAUGUUUUCAUUAAUCAAGAACGAAAGUUAGGGGAUCGAAGACGAUCAGAUACCGUCGUAGUCUUAACCAUAAACUAUGCCGACUAGGGAUCGGAUGAUGUUUAAUUUUUAAUGU